GGAUCAUUACAGAGUUCAUGCCCGAAAGGGUAGACCUCCCACCCUUGUGUAUUAUUACUUUGUUGCUUUGGCGAGCUGCCUUCGGGCCUUGUAUGCUCGCCAGAGAAUACCAAAACUCUUUUUAUUAAUGUCGUCUGAGUACUAUAUAAUAGUUAAAACUUUCAACAACGGAUCUCUUGGUUCUGGCAUCGAUGAAGAACGCAGCGAAAUGCGAUAAGUAAUGUGAAUUGCAGAAUUCAGUGAAUCAUCGAAUCUUUGAACGCACAUUGCGCCCCUUGGUAUUCCGGGGGGCAUGCCUGUUCGAGCGUCAUUUCAACCCUCAAGCUUAGCUGGUAUUGAGUCUAUGUCAGUAAUGGCAGGCUCUAAAAUCAGUGGCGGCGCCGCUGGGUCCUGAACGUAGUAAUAUCUCUCGUUACAGGUUCUCGGUGUGCUUCUGCCAAAACCCAAAUUUUUCUAUGGUUGACCUCGGAUCAGGUAGGGUAU
rnacentral:rRNA from 1 species